rnacentral:rRNA from 1 species
AUUGAACGCUGGCGGCAUGCCUUACACAUGCAAGUCGAACGGUAACGGGCCUUCGGGUGCCGACGAGUGGCGAACGGGUGAGUAAUGUAUCGGAACGUACCUUUCAGUGGGGGAUAACGUAGCGAAAGUUACGCUAAUACCGCAUAUUCUGUGAGCAGGAAAGCAGGGGAUCGCAAGACCUUGCGCUGAUUGAGCGGCCGAUAUCAGAUUAGCCAGUUGGUGAGGUAAAGGCUCACCAAGGCGACGAUCUGUAGCGGGUCUGAGAGGAUGAUCCGCCACACUGGAACUGAGACACGGUCCAGACUCCUACGGGAGGCAGCAGUGGGGAAUUUUGGACAAUGGGGGCAACCCUGAUCCAGCCAUGCCGCGUGAGUGAAGAAGGCCUUCGGGUUGUAAGGCUUUUUCGGCCGGGAAGAAAUCGUAUCAGCUAAUACCUGGUGCGGAUGACGGUACCGGCAUAAGAAGCACCGGCUAACUACGUGCCAGCAGCCGCGGUAAUACGUAGGGUGCGAGCGUUAAUCGGAAUUACUGGGCGUAAAGCGUGCGCAGGCGGUUUUGUAAGACAGGCGUGAAAUCCCCGGGCUCAACCUGGGAACUGCGUUUGUGACUGCAAGGCUAGAGUACGGCAGAGGGGGGUGGAAUUCCACGUGUAGCAGUGAAAUGCGUAGAGAUGUGGAGGAACACCAAUGGCGAAGGCAGCCCCCUGGGUCGAUACUGACGCUCAUGCACGAAAGCGUGGGUAGCAAACAGGAUUAGAUACCCUGGUAGUCCACGCCCUAAACGAUGUCAACUAGA